ACUUUAAUGUUAAAAGGACUUCCUUGAAUAGGAACUCCAGCAUAGUCAAUAAAGACUCUAUGUGUGCCUGAAAGUUGAUUGAAAAUACAAGCUCAAGGUUUACAUUCAAAGAAUUGACCCAUGUGCACAAAUUGAGAUAGUGCAGCCUAGGAAGUGCACAAUCCCAUAAUCCUAAGACAUUGCUGCUAAGAAUUUUGUUUGCCACGCCUUAGUUUCUCAUAAUUCUUCAGAGUCGGAGUUUCAGCUUAUAGGAAAAGGCAUUUAUUAUUGCCUAGAGUGUUGUGCCACUGUUCUUUCCCCUUUUUGAAGGCUCUAACCCUAUAAACUGGAGAGUACACUCCAGCUUUGCCAUUGGCAUACCAACAAAGCAAAAGCCACUUUAACCUGUGGAUGGGAGUGUCUCUCCAAAAAAGGGCUCCACAGUCACAUAAAAAAGUGUUCUACAAGAUGAACCAUAUUCGUUACAACUGAAGGAGGCCAACAUGGUAUGUACUCUAACUUUUUAAAUUGUAUCCUUGUACUAAUUUAUUUUUUAAUAAUGUGUAACUACACAUUAAAAAUAAAACUUUUUUAAAGUUGUGUAUAUUACAAUGUUAUAUCUCAACCUAUCUAACCUAG